GAUGAACGCUAGCGGCAGGCUUAACACAUGCAAGUCGAGGGGUAUAGGUUUUCGGACCUAGAGACCGGCGCACGGGUGCGUAACGCGUAUGCAAUCUACCUUUCACAGAGGGAUAGCCCAGAGAAAUUUGGAUUAAUACCUCAUAGUAUAGCAGUUUCGCAUGAAACCACUAUUAAAGUUCCAACGGUGAAAGAUGAGCAUGCGUCCCAUUAGCUAGAUGGUAAGGUAACGGCUUACCAUGGCUACGAUGGGUAGGGGUCCUGAGAGGGAGAUCACCCAAACUGGUACUAGGACACUGACCAGACGCCUACGGGAGGCAGCAGGGAGGAAUAUUGGUCAAUGGACGCAAUUCUGAACCAGCCAUGCCGCGUGCAGGAUGACGGUCCUAUGGAUUGUAAACUGCUUUUGUACGAGAAGAAACAACAUUACGUGUAAUGUCUUGACGGUAUCGUAAGAAUAAGGAUCGGCUAACUCCGUGCCAGCCGCCGCCGUAACAC
rnacentral:rRNA from 1 species